rnacentral:lncRNA from 1 species
UUUUCUCCUCGGUAAGCUGAAGAUUGUUGUGUCAUGUCUAAUUCUUCGAUCUAUCUUACUUCUUUCGAAUACUUUUUUCGAUUUACCUCACCUUUUUUCAGUUCUUCUAUUGUCAAUCUCUCAAACCUCCUCAUUGACGUUUGUAUAUCUCCUUUUGACAUGUCUAAACCAUCUCAACAUACCACAACAAAACCAAAAUCCAAAAAAGGGGUCGCAUUUUUUCAUAUUCUCGUCUUUUC